rnacentral:rRNA from 1 species
GCUCAACCGGGGAGGGUCAUUGGAAACUGGGGAACUUGAGUGCAGAAGAGGAGAGUGGAAUUCCACGUGUAGCGGUGAAAUGCGUAGAGAUGUGGAGGAACACCAGUGGCGAAGGCGACUCUCUGGUCUGUAACUGACGCUGAGGCGCGAAAGCGUGGGGAGCGAACAGGAUUAGAUACCCUGGUAGUCCACGCCGUAAACGAUGAGUGCUAAGUGUUAGAGGGUUUCCGCCCUUUAGUGCUGCAGCAAACGCAUUAAGCACUCCGCCUGGGGAGUACGGUCGCAAGACUGAAACUCAAAGGAAUUGACGGGGGCCCGCACAAGCGGUGGAGCAUGUGGUUUAAUUCGAAGCAACGCGAAGAACCUUACCAGGUCUUGACAUCCUCUGACAACCCUAGAGAUAGGGCUUCCCCUUCGGGGGCAGAGUGACAGGUGGUGCAUGGUUGUCGUCAGCUCGUGUCGUGAGAUGUUGGGUUAAGUCCCGCAACGAGCGCAACCCUUGAUCUUAGUUGCCAGCAUUCAGUUGGGCACUCUAAGGUGACUGCCGGUGACAAACCGGAGGAAGGUGGGGAUGACGUCAAACCAUCAUGCCCCUUAUGACCUGGGCUACACACGUGCUACAAUGGGCAGAACAAAG